UUUUUGUCGAAAUGAUCGAAGAGGCAGGGAUCGAAGAGCAGGACGGAAU
rnacentral:sRNA from 1 species